GUGGAUUAGAUACCCUGGUAGUCCACGCCGUAAACGUUGGGCGCUAGGUGUGGGGCUCAUUCCACGAGUUCCGUGCCGCAGCAAACGCAUUAAGCGCCCCGCCUGGGGAGUACGGCCGCAAGGCUAAAACUCAAAGGAAUUGACGGGGCCCCGCACAAGCGGCGGAGCAUGCGGAUUAAUUCGAUGCAACGCGAAGAACCUUACCAAGGCUUGACAUGCAGGGUAAUCCGGCAGAGAUGUCGGGUCCGCAAGGGAUCGUGCACAGGUGGUGCACGGCCGUCGUCAGCU
rnacentral:rRNA from 1 species